CCCUGCCUUUUGUACACACCGCCCGUCGCUACUACCGAUUGAAUAUGUUAGUGAGGUCUCCGGAGAUGAUCACUGCGGUGCUUUUGUACUGCGGAUGUUUUAUCAAAGUUGACCGAACUUGCUUAUUU
rnacentral:rRNA from 1 species